AGAUGAGAUUUUUUGUACAAAAAAAAAUAUAGAUGAGAUUCGAGUUCACACAAUCACCACGCUGUCUUUUUCAUUUUUGGUUCCAACUUCAAUUUUAUAUUAACCAAAAAAAUAAUACAUGAUUUUAGGCCACGCUGUUUCAUUUUUGGUUCCAACUUCAAUUUUAUAUUAACCACAAAAUAAUAGGGUGAAUUGGUUUGAGUGAAUUGGGCUCAAACCGAGAAUAUAUAAAUAAAUAAACUGGACACAAUCUAUACUAUAUUAAAAGGAAGAUAUCCUCAAUAGCUGGGGUGUCCACGUCGGCAAUUAAAAUCAACCAAUAGGGUUGAUUCAUUCCUCCACGUCAACACGAGAUUGGGCUGAUCUUGGGCUGUUAAUUUUUUUCAACCGUAAAAAGGAAAAAAAACAUGUGGGUCAUGAACCCAGGUCUGGAAAAUCGGAUAGUGUCGACAUCUCAACUCUUCGAUCUUCAGUAACCCUAAAACAGACAGGCCAUUAAUCUCUUUGACAUCACAUCUCUUCGCCCUUUCCCCUUCUUCAGCGGAUCGUUCAAUCAACACCAUAUUCAUGAGUGUGCAAUGAAUCAUCUGGAAAUCUCAUUAAUGGGUUCCUUUCGUCUCCCUCUCAGAUUCUUUAUAUCAUUCAUAUUUUUCCUCACAUUUGUGACACACAAAAUUCUCUCAAGCCAUGAAUUCUAACAGCAAAUCAACCGUUUCCGGCGAUUUUACCACGAAGAAACCGAACGGAAAGGAUGUUGUCUCCUCCGCGAGCCGGUCGAACGAGACGGGCAAACCCAAACCUUCAUCUCUAUUGCUAAAUAUGUUUCCGGUGAUCCUAAGAAGAGAUGACAAGAGUAGAUGAGCAGUAGGGGUUUCUUUAAUUGGUUCAAAGUAUAUGGCUGCUUCAAUCUCAGCAAGACUUAUUCGCACUGUUGGAUCCUAUGCAGCUUUAGGACGCAGCAGCAGUAUUAUCUCAGUUUCUAAGCUCUUUCUUAUAUGCAAAAUUGUUGAUGUCUACAUCACUUCGAUUGCAUAUACAGACUCACCAAAUCGAAGUAGUCUGUUGGCUUAUACACAAAUAUCUUAUUGGCGUCAAUGUCGUUCUCGGAUAUGAGGUACCACCAUCGUUUCUUUUUUGAAAUGCUCUCUUUGUGAUUGUAUCUAUGUUGAGUCUAAUCUACAGAUGGAGCAAAUGCGGUUGGGGAAGACUCUACAAGCAAUUUUUUCUUGAGCUAUCUGAAGUUUCAUCAAGGAUUGCGAGGGCCAUUUCUUGAGUCAAUGAGAUCUGCUUCUUAAAGACAAGUUCUGAUGUUGUGUUGUUUAAUGUUGUGUCUUGAUUUGGCAGUUUUGCUUUGUUCUUUUAACAUAACCGAUGGUUGGGGGUAAGAGAUAAAAGGUUCACUCCAGAACUUGAAGUUUUUAGGUAUGUUGGUGAUAAGGAUUGCCGUAGGGAUUUGUAGGGAUUUGCGUAAGGUAAUGCAUGAUUAUGUCAACAAGGGCUCUAAGACGAGAGUAAAUUUUUUUGUCUUUCUCAAGAAACUUUGGGUUUAUCAGCUGUGUAUAAUUAUAUUGUUUUGUUUGUUUUGUUUCAGAAAUCUUUGUUACCGUUUGAUGUGUUGUUGACAACGUAUGAUAUAGCAUUGGUGGAUCAAGACUUCCUUUCUCAGGUUCCGUGGUAACUGAUGAAGCUCAAAUACUCAAGAAUCCCAACAGUGUAUGUUACCUACCUAGAAAAAUUCAUCGAGUUGUGAAAUGAAUGAUAGAUCACUGGUUAGUUGAUACUGUGAAUUCAAGAUUAACUUCCAUUCAUUUCACACAUCUCUUAUGUAGCCGUUUAUAUGGAUUUAUUGUAUCGGUUUACUUUCCAGCCGAAAGCUCUCCACUUCUAUUUUGACUCCUGAUUGUACAUUCAUGAUUUACUUUCUCAAAAGACAGGUCAUUAUGUGAGACAAAGAAAUUAUGUGAGAGGUUGACUGAGAGUCUGAAAACAAGUAUUGUGCGAAAGGUUGCCAUGAAUGGGCUGAUUAAUUUAUUAUUACAUGUUGGCUAUUCUCCCAGCCAAAGUUUCAACAAACGUGUUAUCAUUUAAAUGUUUGGGUAUAACAUCAAAAUUGGUCCAUUACAAACUUGAUACAGUCAUUUUAUAAUUGGGCUAGCAUUCCAUUUUUUGCGAGCUGGUCUUUUGGUGAACUUCGAAAUGAAGUAUCGUUUUAAUAAUUAUUUCUUCGUUAAAUCAGUGCUUAAUCAUGAGAUGGUUAACUAAUAAAUAUCUUAUGACAUAUAUUUUUCCUUAGAACAUAGUUUAUAUAAUCUUUAAUAAUUUUAAUAUAUAUAAAUAAAUUGAAAAUAUGAAAAGUUAUUAUUCAUAUUUAUUUAUGGAUAUUGUUUGCUCUAUAUUUCUCACAUGUGCAACUGCAAAGUGCUUCUUAACCUCAAGUGUUUUUACAUGUGAUAUACAUAUUUAUCUCUUAGGUUUACCAUUUUUGAUAACCUAAACCUAAUUCCAGACCUUAGACAAUGAUAAUUUUUAUAUAUAUCUACCAUUUAUAAAAUUUCAGAAAGCUUUUAAGUUGGGUUUGAAGUUCUCACUCAUACCUGUUUUCGAGAGGUCAUUCAAGACCAUGUUUGAGCAAGUAUCUCAGCCUUGCAUAAUAACUGAGCACACAAACACUAUCCAGCAAACAGAAAAAAAGCUAGAACAUCAAAUAAUAGUAUUAAUAUUCAAAAUUAUUUCCAAAAAUCUGAUUAAUUAAAUAAUUAAAAUAAGAAACUGUAAAAUUAAUAUUACAUCAACAACGGUAAGAAAGUAAAUCUUCUAUAAAUUUACAACUAAUAAUAUUUCAAAUCAUGAAGUAAAAUUUUCUUUCUAUCACAAACAAACUUAAGAAAAACACAGAAAUUAAAUAGCAACAAUAAAUAUUAAAUUUAAAUUUUGGUUAAAAAGGUUGACAAAAUUAUUUUGGUUAAAACGAUAAAUUGAAAACAACAAAUAAAGAACCGGUAUACAAGUCGGUGGUGCUUUCUUUUAAAGACAAGUAACAAAAAUAAAACUUUGUAAUUUUAAAACCAAUCAAAA